GAAAUGCGAUAAUUAAUGUGAAUUGCAGAAAUCAGUGAAUCAUCGAGUCUUUGAACGCACAUUGCGCCCCCUGGUAUUCCGGGGGGCAUGCCUGUCCGAGCGUCAUUGCUGCCCUCAAGCACGGCUUGUGUGUUGGGCUUCCGUCCCUGGCAACGGGGACGGGCCCAAAAGGCAGUGGCGACACCAUGUCUGGUCCUCGAGCGUAUGGGGCUUUGUCACCCGCUCCCGUAGGUCCAGCUGGCAGCUAGCCUCGCAACCAAUCUUUUUAACCAGGUUGCCCUCGGAUCAGGUAGGGAUACCCGCUGAACUUAAGC
rnacentral:misc_RNA from 1 species